rnacentral:rRNA from 1 species
CUACGGGGCGCACCAGUGGGGAAUUUUGCGCAAUGGGGGAAACCCUGACGCAGCAAUACCGCGUGAGUGAAGAAGGCCUUUGGGUCGUAAAGCUCUUUUCUUGGGGAAGAUAGUGACGGUACCCAAGGAAUAAGCACCGGCUAACUCCGUGCCAGCAGCCGCGGUAAUACGGAGGGUGCAAGCGUUGUUCGGAUUUACUGGGCGUAAAGGGCACGUAGGCGGCACAGCAAGUUAAGGGUGAAAUCCCGGGGCUCAACUCCGGAACUGCUCUUAAAACUGCUGAGCUAGAGAUAGUCAGAGGCGGGUGGAAUUCCAGGUGUAGAGGUGAAAUUCGUAGAUAUCUGGAGGAACACCGGUGGCGAAGGCGGCCCGCUGGGGCUAUUCUGACGCUAAGGUGCGAAAGCGUGGGGAGCAAACGGGAUUAGAUACCCCAGUGUC